UAGAAAUAUGAAACCCUAAUUUGUAACAUAGAACCUGAAUUUUGAUUUCUUUGAAACCCUAAUUCUCUCCGCAACCUCAGCCAAUUCCUCUUUUUUCCUUCAGCUUACAUCUCUCUCGUCAUUCGUUUCAGAGACAUGUAUCGCCAAGGAUCUCUAGAUAGAAAGGAGACUCAAGCUGAAGCCGGAGCCGCAGCCGGAGCUGGAGCUGACAAUGGCAAUGGUAACCCCAUUUCGUCGGCGGGCUUGCCUCCGUUAUCGUCCUAUCGUCUUAGGCUGAACCCAAACACAGAUCACAAACCUGAUAACUAUGAGGAUCUUGAAUUGGAGUUCAGUCCUCUGAUUUUCAGCUCGCUUGAGAGGUACUUGCAUCCUAAUCUGUUGAAUGUGCCGCGUGAAGUCAAGGUACAAUACAUCACGGAGAUUUUGCAUCGAUAUUCUCCAGAAGGGGAGAGAAGUCGAGUCCAGAAGCACCGAGAAUACCGUCAGAAGAUUAUGUCCAAUUAUCAGCCUCUACAUAGGGAAUUAUACACUAUGAAUGCAACAAAUUUCUUUGUGCCAACCUUUCUCAAGGCAAUUAAUGUCAAUACUGAGGAGGGUUUUAAAAAUAUAAUGACUGAGCACACACCUGGAGUGUUUUCAUUUGAAAUGUUCCAGCCACGAUUCUGUGACAAGUUUCUAUCUGAGGUGGAAAACUUUGAGAAUUGGGUUCACGAGACAAAAUUCAGAAUCAUGCGACCAAAUACGAUGAAUAAAUAUGGUGCGGUUCUUGAUGACUUUGGCAUGGAAACCAUGCUUGACAAGUUGACGGAGGACUUUAUACGGCCUAUAUCUAAAGUAUUGUUCAAUGAAGUGGGUGGAUCCUCACUUGACUCUCAUCAUGGAUUUGUUGUUGAAUAUGGAUCGGACAGGGAUGUUGAUCUUGGUUUCCAUGUGGACGACUCUGAGGUUACUCUAAAUGUGUGUCUGGGAAAACAAUUUUCUGGUGGGGAAUUGUUUUUCCGAGGUGUAAGAUGUGAUAAGCACGUGAACUCAGAAACUCAGCCUGAGGAAAUUUAUGAUUUUUCUCAUGUUCCUGGGCGUGCACUUCUUCAUCGUGGCCGCCACCGUCAUGGUGCUAGAGCUACAACUAGUGGACACAGAAUCAACUUGUUGCUGUGGUGCAGAAGUUCUGCUUUCAGAGAGCUAAAAAAAUAUCAAACUGAAUACCCCACCUGGUGUGCUGAGUGCCUUCGGAAGAAGAAAGAGAGGCAGCGACAGAAAGUGGCUGCCAAAUUGGAAUUAAUAAGGAAGGAAGGAGAACAACAGCAACAGAGUAGAGAGAAUGCUGCUUGAAAUGAAUGAUUGCCUUAUUUGAUUAAAACUCUUAUUUUACUGACAAUCCUUUGAAGAAGAAAGUAUAUUUGAGAAUGGAAUUAUACAGAAGAACAUGGUUCCUGUGUUUUUCUAAUGUUUCUUGGUCGGUAUGUCAAGUUUGAAGGCGGUCUUCAUUCUCCGAUGAUCCAAAAAGGCCAGUAGAACCUGGUGUUGAGUUUGUUGGCGCUGAUGUGCCAGUAGAACCCGGUGUUGAGUUUGUUGGCGCUGAUGUGAUUGCAGUUUCACGUAAACCUAUUGGUACUU